CCUACGGGGGGCAGCAGUGAGGAAUAUUGGUCAAUGGGCGGAAGCCUGAACCAGCCAAGUAGCGUGCGGGAUGAAGGCCCUACGGGUCGUAAACCGCUUUUGCACGGGGAUAACACCCUCCACUUGUGGAGGUCUGCAGGUACCGUGCGAAUAAGGGCCGGCUAAUUCCGUGCCAGCAGCCGCGGUAAUACGGAGGAUCCGAGCGUUAUCCGGAUUUAUUGGGUUUAAAGGGAGCGUAGAUGGGUUGUUAAGUCAGUUGUGAAAGUUUGCGGCUCAACCGUAAAAUUGCAAUUGAUACUGGCAGCCUUGAGUACAGUUGAGGUAGGCGGAAUUCGUGGUGUAGCGGUGAAAUGCUUAGAUAUCACGAAGAACUCCGAUUGCGAAGGCAGCCUACUAAACUGCCACUGACAUUGAUGCUCGAAAGUGUGGGUAUCAAACAGGAUUAGAUACCCUAGUAGUC
rnacentral:rRNA from 1 species